GUGCUCGCUUUGGUGACACAUAUAUUAAAAUCUGGAUAUUAUAGAGAAGAUUAGCAUGACCCCUUCUCAUAAAUGACAUACAAGUUCAUAAAAUAUCCCACAUUUUU
ensembl:snRNA U6 U6 spliceosomal RNA